rnacentral:rRNA from 1 species
CCUACGGGAGACAGCAGUCGAGAAUCAUUCACAAUGGGGGAAACCCUGAUGGUGCGACGCCGCGUGGGGGAAUGAAGGUCUUCGGAUUGUAAACCCCUGUCAUGUGGGAGCAAAUUAAAAAGAUAGUACCACAAGAGGAAGAGACGGCUAACUCUGUGCCAGCAGCCGCGGUAAUACAGAGGUCUCAAGCGUUGUUCGGAAUCACUGGGCGUAAAGGGUGCGUAGGCUGUUUCGUAAGUCGGGUGUGAAAGGCGCGGGCUCAACCCGCGGACGGCACAUGAUACUGCGAGACUAGAGUAAUGGAGAGGGAAGCGGAAUUCUCGGUGUAGCAGUGAAAUGCGUAGAUAUCGAGAAGAACACUCGUGGCGAAGGUGGGUUCCUGGACAUUAACUGACGCUGAGGCACGAAGGCGAGGGGAGCGAAAGGGAUUAGAUACCCCUGUAGUC